rnacentral:tRNA from 1 species
AUUUAUAUAGUUUAAAAAAAACCUUACAUUUUCAUUGUAAAAUUAUAUAUAAUAUUAUAAAUA